rnacentral:lncRNA from 1 species
AAAAACGAAACAAAAAUUCAGGCGAAUCAAACAUUUCGCAAACAUAAAGUCACGCUCAACAGAGAAUAUGCAUAUCUAUAAAAAUGAAAAUCCGGAUCUAGUGCAAUGUAGGUUUAAAAUUAGAUAAUUAUGCAUAUUCAAUUUAAUUUACAAACGGAAACACUGACAGAUUACAGACUGCCACAGAUGCAAAUGGAUAAAACGCAAAGGUGAGUGAAGGUGAGAAAAUUGGACUUGGUUGAGUUUUUAAUCAGAUCAGAUCGUGAAAAAUCUGGAUCUAAUAAGGAAUGAUUUCACGUACCUGCUUAAUAUAUCAGUGGAGAGAUCGACGGGGACUGGAGAUGUUGAAACGAACACGAAGAUUGGGCAUUUUAUAUUUAAGCUAAAUUGCAAUCACCGUCCCUAAUUUUUACCCUUAUUAUUUUAUUGUCCGAAACUUUUUUUAAUUCCA